AGCAGCUGGUAACAACAGUAGCUGAGGCCCCCCAGGCUUGCCCCGUCUAACCUUUCCGCAACUCCCUCCAACUCCAGGCAAAGGCUCGCGCUCCCCAUCCCCGUCACGCUGCCGGCCCUCGGGCGGGUCCAGCCCGCACCCCGCCACCCAUCCCUGCGCGCUCACGUCCACGGAAGUUUCAGAGAAGGUGACCCAGGCCUGGGGAGAAGAAGCCCCCUCUGCAUGCCACCUCAGCUCCCCGCUCAGGUUUUCAUCUCCGAAGCUUCUCCUGUCUUGCCUGACCCAAGACCCAAGGAGGGUUUCGGGAAACUCGUGUGCAGUCCGCCCCCUCUCCAGGCUGUUGAGAUGUAAAUCCCCGAGUCUGUCACCUCGAGAUUCUUGAUGAUCAGAGGAAAGUGUCCCUGGUCCCACUGGCUUUUUUUGGACUCAACGCGGUUUUUCAGCCCGGAGGAACCUGGGAGUAGAAGCCGGAAGGAGGAGGUUGGGGCACUCAGGAGCUAAGGCAUCUGCGGCAAGGGCAGGGCCCACAGAGCUUCUGAUCUGAGUUACUAAAUUUCCCACAGGAUCUGCCCCCCGUCCUCAUCAGAGAACCCCAAGCAGAUGUGGGCAUCCCAGCACAUCCAUUCACCUGGCAGGGAUAAUAUCUCACUGAUCCACAAUAAAAUAAUGUCCUCAUUUCGAGAGCA